UGACCAAGAGCUCGAUGGAGCACACGGCUA
rnacentral:piRNA from 1 species